GCGUCUGAUUAGCCAGUUGGCAGGGUAACGGCCUACCAAAGCGACGAUCAGUAGCCGGCCUGAGAGGGUGGACGGCCACAUUGGGACUGAGACACGGCCCAAACUCCUACGGGAGGCAGCAGUGGGGAAUAUUGCACAAUGGGGGAAACCCUGAUGCAGCGACGCCGCGUGAAGGAAGAAGUAUUUCGGUAUGUAAACUUCUAUCGACAGGGAAGAAAGAGAUGACGGUACCUGAAUAAGAAGCACCGGCUAAAUAC
rnacentral:rRNA from 1 species